UACGAAGGGGGCUAGCGUUGCUCGGAAUCACUGGGCGUAAAGCGCGCGUAGGCGGCUUUGCAAGUCGGGUGUGAAAGCCCCGGGCUCAACCUGGGAAUUGCAUUCGAGACUGCAUUGCUGGAGUACGGAAGAGGAGGGCGGAAUUCCCGGUGUAGCGGUGAAAUGCGUAGAUAUCGGGAGGAACAUCAGUGGCGAAGGCGGCCCUCUGGUCCAGUACUGACACUCAAGUGCGAAAGCGUGGGGAGCAAACAGG
rnacentral:rRNA from 1 species